rnacentral:rRNA from 1 species
GACGAACGCUGGCGGCGUGCUUAAUACAUGCAAGUCGAACGCACUCUCGUUUAGACUGACGGAGUUUGCUCCUGAUUGAUAAACAUUUGAGUGAGCGGCGGACGGGUGAGUAACACGUGGGUAACCUGCCCUAAAGUGGGGGAUAACAUUUGGAAACAGAUGCUAAUACCGCAUAAAACCUAACAACGCAUGGAGUAGGGUUGAAAGAUGGUUUCGGCUAUUACUUUAGGAUGGACCCAGGGUGCAUUAGUUAGUUGGUGAGGUAAAGGCUCACCAAGGCCGUGAUGCAUAGCCGAACUGAGAGGAUAAUCGGCCACACUGGGACUGAGACACGGCCCAGACUCCUACGGGAGGCAGCAGUAGGGAAUCUUCCACAAUGGGCGCAAGUCUGAUGGAGCAACGCCGCGUGAGUGAAGAAGGUAUUAGGAUCGUAAAGCUCUGUUGUUGGAGAAGAAUGUAUAUCAUAGUAUAUGGUCAGGUAGUGACGGUAUCCAACCAGAAAGCCACGGCUAACUACGUG